UGGGCUAAAGUUGGUACAUGUA
rnacentral:miRNA from 1 species